rnacentral:rRNA from 1 species
GCAUAUCAAUAAGCGGAGGAAAAGAAACCAACCGGGAUUGCCCUAGUAACGGCGAGUGAAGCGGCAAGAGCUCAAAUUUGAAAGCUGGCCCCCUCGGGGUCCGCAUUGUAAUUUGCAGAGGAUGCUUCGGGAGCGGUCCCCAUCUAAGUGCCCUGGAACGGGCCGUCAUAGAGGGUGAGAAUCCCGUAUGGGAUGGGGUGCCCGCGCCCGUGUGAAGCUCCUUCGACGAGUCGAGUUGUUUGGGAAUGCAGCUCUAAUUGGGUGGUAAAUUUCAUCUAAAGCUAAAUAUUGGCCGGAGACCGAUAGCGCACAAGUAGAGUGAUCGAAAGAUGAAAAGCACUUUGAAAAGAGAGUUAAACAGCACGUGAAAUUGUUGAAAGGGAAGCGCUUGCGAUCAGACUCGCUCGCGGGGUUCAGCCGGCCUUCGGGCCGGUGUACUUCCCCGCGGGCGGGCCAGCGUCGGUUUGGGCGGCCGGUCAAAGGCCCCUGGAAUGUAACGCCUCUCGGGGCGUCUUAUAGCCAGGGGUGCCAUGCGGCCUGCCCGGACCGAGGAACGCGCUUCGGCUCGGACGCUGGCAUAAUGGUCGUAAGCGACCCGUCUUGAAACACGGACCAAGGAGUCUAACAUCUACGCGAGUGUUCGGGUGUCAAACCCGUGCGCGCAGUGAAAGCGAACGGAGGUGGGAACCCCUCGGGGUGCACCAUCGACCGAUCCUGAUGUCUUCGGAUGGAUUUGAGUAAGAGCGUAGCUGUUGGGACCCGAAAGAUGGUGAACUAUGCCUGAAUAGGGCGAAGCCAGAGGAAACUCUGGUGGAGGCUCGCAGCGGUUCUGACGUGCAAAUCGAUCGUCAAAUUUGGGUAUAGGGGCGAAAGACUAAUCGAACCAUCUAGUAGCUGGUUCCUGC